ACAGGAUGUCAGGAUUACUCGUAUGGAGGAGCCCUUCGGGGCAGGAAGACAGGUGGUGCAUGGUUGUCGUCAGCUCGUGUCGUGAGAUGUUGGGUUAAGUCCCGCAACGAGCGCAACCCUUAUCGUUAGUUGCUACCAUUAAGUUGAGCACUCUAACGAGACUGCCGCGGUUAACGUGGAGGAAGGUGGGGAUGACGUCAAAUCAUCAUGCCCCUUAUGUCUAGGGCUACACACGUGCUACAAUGGCCGGUACAACGAGAUGCAAACCCGUGAGGGGGAGCCAAACUUCAAAGCCGGUCCCAGUUCGGAUUGUAGGCUGAAACUCGCCUACAUGAAGUCGGAGUUGCUAGUAAUCGCGAAUCAGCAUGUCGCGGUGAAUACGUUCCCGGGUCUUGUACACACCCGCACGUAAACAACG
rnacentral:rRNA from 1 species